AAAAGGUGGUGGGGGGGGUGGUGGUGGUGGUGGAGGAGGUGGAGGUGGAAGCAAGAAAGCCGGAGCUGGCAGCUGGGAUGACGGUGAUGAUUUCAGCCUUGAAUUUGGACCCUCUCGCCCCAGCAGACCUGGCAGAGGACGGGGCGCCGGCGGCCGUGGUGGUGGUGCCGGCGGCGGCCGUGGCCGUGGUGGCGGCCGUGGUGGCGGUAGGGAUGUAGGUCGAGGAAGGGGAGGUAGAGAUCGAGACAGGGACGGCAGAAGCGAUGGGAAAAGCAGCAGUGGCAAGGCUCUCCCUAGGUCCCUGGCAAGGACACGAACAAGCCCAAUGUCGGGUGACAGCAUCAGGCCGGAGAUGAGCACCAUGCCCUUGCAGAGGAUCUUCAUGACUAAUGAGAACCAAGAACAACUCAAGGAGCUGCUGCGUAAUCUGCAGAACCAGGACUUUGAUGAGCCAUAUGAUGUAUCUGGUUCCGAUUAUUCGGGAGGAGAAGAGGAUGAGGAGGAAUUUGAUGAGUUGGACCACCGAGACGAAGGCCAGUUUUGGGCCACUAAUGAUGAGCCUGUAGAGAGGGCAGAGAGCCCAGCGUAUGAGACAGAGUCUGAUAAUGACCGGCCCACCCCUGAACCUGUCAUAUCCCUGUUUGCUAUAGGAAAACUCUGCAGGUAUGGGUUUGACAGGGAGCGCAGCAAGCAAGCAUUGAAGUCUGUUGGAGGGGAAUUCGGGGCCACUUUGGAACAGCUCCUGCACCAGGUUUUCAGGGAGCGCUAUGGCCAGAAAGCCAUUUCUCCUGAUGGCCUGGAAGGGGUGCCUAUGGAUGAGUGUUUGAGCCAGAGGCAGGAGGAAGCUCUGGCUCUAACUGCUAUUUAUGGUGAGCGCUUCGGUGAGCGCAUUGCUAAUACAGUCUGGACAGUAACCCUAGACCUCUCAUUCCUCUCAGACAUGGCUGCCAAGAAUGGUAGGCAAGUCGGGAGUCGAGGUGGCGGAGGAGCAGUUAACAUCCGAGAUGUCUGCCGAUUCUACUUGAAAGGACAGGGCUGCAGGUUUGGGGACAAAUGCAAGUUUAAGCACCAUCUCCCCACUAAAGUGAGAUCUGGGGCUGGUUCCCCAGACCUGGAAGGCCCAAGCCAGCCUGGCUUUAGCAGCUAUUCUUCCCCUGAGUAUGAGCUCGAGGUCCGUUUCCCCAAAGGAAACCGUUACCCAUUUCAGGCACCAAUAGUCGCCUUCAGCACCAACGACGAGUCUUUCGGGGCGGCAGGGAGGAUCAGCUUGACUGAAAGAUUGUUUGGAGAAGCAUUGGCCGCAGCAAAGAGCAACGAGCCUGUUGUUUACACCCUAAUCACCUUAUGUGAAGACAAAUCUACCGUGAAGGAACUGCUGGCUGUUAGUCAUCACAAAUACAGCACGCCACCGCCUGUUUUAGCGCCUCCUCCACCCUCUCUUGCUGAGGCUAAGAGUGUGAGGAACAAUGCUUCUGAGGAAUGCAGGAGUAGUAGUACCAAUAGUAGUAACCAUACCAUCAGCAGAAGGGCUGCUCCAUCUACCAACCAGAGACCCGUAGAUCUGAAAGAAACCGAAGAGGCAGAGGAGCUGGAUGAGAGGGAGGACGACGAUGAGAGUGAGUCUAUUCCAGUUGAGACCGAAAGUUAUGUCAAUCUAAGGAAGAGAAUGGUCACUAAACACAACCUGAAGAUAGACAACCUACUGAAAGAAAAUGGCAAGCUGUGUCGAGAGUUUAAGAAGAAACAGUCAUCCGGGCGUUUCAGGUCCAUGUUAGAGCAGAGGAAGAAACUGCCGGCUUGGCAAGAAAGAGAAAACAUCCUCGACCUGUUAGACCAGUGCCAGGUGCUGGUUGUCAGCGGGAUGACAGGGUGCGGUAAGACCACGCAGAUCCCUCAGUUCAUUCUGGACGCCUCGUUAAAUGGCCCAGCGGAGCAGGUGGUCAACAUCAUCUGUACCCAGCCACGCCGCAUCUCUGCCAUUUCUGUGGCCCAGAGAGUGGCACAGGAGCGGGCAGAGUGUCUGGGCAACUCCGUGGGCUACCAGAUCCGUCUGAAGAGUGUUAGGACGUCGGCCACCAGACUCCUCUACUGCACCAUGGGUGUGUUACUUAGGAGACUGGAGGGCGAGGCAGACCUCAAAGGCAUCACGCACGUCAUUGUGGAUGAGGUUCACGAGCGAACGGAGGAGAGUGACUUCCUGCUGUUAGUGUUAAAAGACCUGAUUAUGCAGAGGCCAGACCUGAAGAUCAUUCUAAUGAGUGCCACACUUAAUGCCAAACUCUUCUCUGAGUAUUUCUACGACUGUCCCACUGUCCACAUACCAGGUCGUACUUUUCCCGUUGACCAGUUUUUUCUUGAAGAUGCCAUCGACAGAACCCGGUAUGUCAUUGAGGAUGGAAGCCCUUACAUGCGCUCAGGGAAACAGAAUUUGUCUUCCACAAGUGGACGAGGGAGAGAGCAAAGGGACAUGGUGGACGACUUGGGUGAUGACAUGUGGAACUUCAUGUCUCUCUGCAAGAAGGACUUUGUCAAAGACUCUAUUCCAGACCAGCAGCUCAGCCUGCAGGAUCUCACAGUCAGAUACAAAGAUACUAAGAAGUCUGUGCUGAAGACUAUUGCUGCAAUGGACCUGGACAAGAUCAACAUGGACCUGGUGGAGACCCUGCUGGAAUGGAUUGUAGAUGGAAAACAUAACUACCCUCCAGGUGCGGUGCUUGUGUUUCUGCCAGGCCUGGCUGAGAUCAAGAUGCUCUACGAGCAGCUCAAGUCCAACAGAAUGUUCAACAACCGGGGAGCAAACAGAUGUGAGGUGUACCCACUCCACUCAUCCUUGUCCAAUGAGGAGCAACAGGCAGUUUUCAGCCGGCCCCCAGAGGGUGUCACAAAGAUUAUCAUCUCCACCAACAUUGCUGAGACCUCUGUAACUAUUGACGACGUGGUUUAUGUCAUCGACUCUGGCAAGAUGAAGGAGAAAAGGUACGAUGCGACCAAAAGCAUGGAGAGCCUGGAGGACUCGUGGGUUUCUCGGGCCAACGCACUGCAGAGGAAGGGUCGAGCAGGUCGCGUUGCCUCGGGGGUCUGCUUCCACCUCUUCACCAGCCACUGCUUCCAACACCAGCUGGCGGAACAACAGCUGCCGGAGAUCCAAAGAGUGCCUCUCGAGCAGCUCUGCCUCCGAAUCAAGAUCCUGGAUGUGUUUGCAGAUCGGAUGCUUGAUUCUGUGUUCUCUCGGCUCAUCGAGCCCCCGGCUAUGGGAAGCUUGGAUGCGGCCAAGAAGCGCCUGCGGGACCUUGGAGCUCUAACCGCGGAUGAGAAACUGACACCGCUGGGCUACCACCUGGCCUGCCUGCCCGUCGACGUGCGCAUCGGGAAACUCAUGCUGUUUGGUGCCAUCUUUCGCUGCCUUGACCCAGCACUCACCAUCGCUGCCAGUCUGGCCUUCAAGUCACCAUUUGUGUCUCCAUGGGAUAAGCGGGAAGAAGCCAAUGAGAAGAAGCUGGCCUUUGCCCUGGCCAGUAGUGACCAUCUAGCUUUGUUACAGGCAUACAAGGGAUGGUGCUGUGCUGCAAAGAAUGGCCACCAGGCCGGCUUUCGUUACUGCAGGGAGAACUUCCUGUCUUGGCGGGGCUUACAGGAGAUCGCCAGUCUAAAGAGGCAGUUUGCUGAGCUGCUGUCUGACAUUGGCUUCAUCAAAGAGGGACUGAGGGCCAGGGUUAUAGAGCGCAUGUCAUCCAAAGGCACUGAUGGUGUUGUGGAGGCCACCGGCCCCGAGGCUAACUUGAACUCCGAAAACAUCCGGCUGAUGUCCGCCAUGCUUUGUGCUGCCCUCUAUCCCAAUGUGGUCCAGGUACGAGCUCCUCAGGGGAAUUACAAGAUGACCAGCAAAGGAGCGAUGAAGAUGCAGCCCAAAGCCAACGAGCUCCGCUUCAUGACCAAGGACGAUGGCUGCGUCCACGUGCACCCCUCCUCUGUCAACUACACAGUUCGCCACUACACUAGCCCCUACCUAGUUUACCACGAGAAGGUGAAGACAAGCCGCAUCUUCAUCAGGGACUGUAGCAUGGUGUCCGUCUACCCGCUGGUGCUGUUUGGAGGCGGGCAGGUCAACAUGGAGCUGCACAAAGGAGAGUUUAUCAUCUCCCUCGACGAUGGAUGGAUCCGAUUUGCUGCCGCUUCUCAUCAGGUGGCGGAGCUGGUGAAAGAGCUGCGCUGGGAGCUGGACCAGCUGUUGGAGGACAAAAUCAGGAGUCCAAGCAUGGACCUGUGCACCUGUCCCCGUGGCUCCCGCAUCAUCCACAUGAUAGUCCAACUCAUUUCUACACAGUAGCUCUUAACGCCCCCUUUUGAGCUUUUUUGUCACUCUCAAGGGCUUAAACACAUGGAGCUCUGCAUUGGGCCCAAAAACCCUGAAACUGGUUAUAUUUUGUGUUGUCUCAAUCUGACAGAGGAGCAGAAUAGACACUGUUCUUGAAGUGAGGUCCUCUAGUACUGCUGCCACCUGACACUUACUUAGGUAUUAGUUUACAUGAAAAACAAAGCUAUUGUGUUGCUGCACUGGAGGGGUUUUAAAGCAAUUCUUGCCUUAAAAAAUAAAUGACGGCUCUAUGCAGGUGAUCCACAAACCUCCAUCUUUGUUUUGCUGGAAUAAAACAUUUCUUGCUAUUUUUACAAGUCUUAUUUUGACACUUAAAAAUGCAACACUAGAAAAGCUUGUUUUUUGAUGCCAUACUACUACUGUAUGUGCAGUAAACUGGCACGGUUAAUGAAUUGAAAUGAAAUGAAAUGAAAUGAAUUUAAUUGGAUGUCAAUAUAAUUUGUACACAGUGCAUUUUUAUUUUGGGUUGUGUCUUGCUCACAACUGAAGUUUCUUGGGUCCAUAUUGGAUUUCUCAUACUUAGUGACUGCAUACUUGUUAUAUUAUUUAUUAUUUGUGUUUUUUCGCAUGAAUAAGAGAUCCAAGACCUUCAUUGUAUUAGGCUGUUUUACAUUCACUGAAUGUAUAUGUUACAGUGAUGUCAAAACUACACUUUCACAAUGUAAAUGCAAGGGCUUUUUAAAUUGGGAAAAUUUGGUUAGUGAGAAUUGUUAAAUGAUUUGAAAGCGUAUUGUCUUAAGUGAUAAAUUUCACUGCACUAAAAAAAUAAAAGAA